UUAUAAAAACAGCAGCUUUGCAAUGUCACAAGUGCUUUUUCCAACUGGUCUUUCCUUCCAAGAUCUUCAUGAAGAGCAGAGAAUCGAUCCAUUGCGGUGCUCGGCGCUAACGCUGCGAUACUGUAUAUCCGUGCUCAAAAUGACAGACUUGCACGUUGAAGCCAAGUUCAUUGACAAAAUAAAAGGAAAAAGAAAGCUGCCAAACUAGAUAACCGAAGAUGAAGAUGGAAUAUCUUAUGGUAUGCUUAUAUGGUAAAGAUACCAAAAUUCAUAUUUUGAUUGGCUACCGUUUAACACAAUAUUUCUUUCUUAUAGAGGAACAUAUAAAGUUGCUUGAAGAAAGGUUUAAGACCGUGGUCAAAGAAGGAUGUAUCUGCUCUCCUGAAACACUUCAAUAUUUUCUUCAUUUUAGUGAAAAAAAAAUGUAAAAGAUAGUUUACAAUAAAAUA